CCAGCUUUAGCUCAGUGGUAGAGCAUCUGACUGUAAAUCAGAGUGUCGCUGGUUCAAAUCUAGCAAGCUGGA
rnacentral:tRNA from 1 species